rnacentral:rRNA from 1 species
CCGCGAAUCGCCCUUCGGGGUGCACCAGGCGCGAAAACUCUACAAUGCAGGCAACUGCGAUAGGGGAACAUCGAGUGAUCCUCAUAUUGGGGGUCUGUCCACCCGUCUAAAAAACGGGUGUUAGCAAGGGCCGGGCAAGACCGGUGCCAGCCGCCGCGGUAAUACCGGCGGCUCGAGUGGUGGCCGAUAUUAUUGAGUCUAAAGGGUCCGUAGCCGGCUUUGCAAGUCUCUCGGGAAAUCCAGCGGCUUAACCGUUGGUCGUCCGGGGGGUACUACAUUGCUUGGGACUGGGAGAGGUAGGAGGUACUCAGGGGGUAGGAGUGAAAUCCUGUAAUCCUUUGGGGACCACCGGUGGCGAAGGCGUCCUACCAGAACAGGUCCGACGGUGAGGGACGAAAGCUAGGGGCACGAACCGGAUUAUAUACCCGGGUAGUCCUAGCCGUAAACGAUGCUCGCUAGGUGUCACAACAGUCGUGAACUGUUGUGGUGCCGUAGGGAAGCCGUGAAGCGAGCCACUUGGGAAGUACGACCGCAAGGUUGAAACUUAAAGGAAUUGGCGGGGGAGCAC